GACGAACGCUGGCGGCGUGCUUAACACAUGCAAGUCGAACGGAAAGGCCCUGCUUGCAGGGUGCUCGAGUGGCGAACGGGUGAGUAACACGUGGGUGAUCUGCCCCUUACUUUGGGAUAAGCCUGGGAAACUGGGCCUAAUACUGGAUAGGACCAUGCUGUAGGUGGUGUGGUGGAAAGAUUAGUUUCGGUAAGGGAUGAGCUCGCGGCCUAUCAGCUUGUUGGUGGGGUAAUGGCCUACCAAGACGUCGACGGGUAGCCGGCCUGAGAGGGUGGACGGCCACAUUGGGACUGAGAUACGGCCCAGACUCCUACGGGAGGCAGCAGUGGGGAAUAUUGCACAAUGGGCGCAAGCCUGAUGCAGCGACGCCGCGUGGGGGAUGACGGCCUUCGGGUUGUAAACUCCUUUCAGCCAUGACGAAGCCCUUGUGGUGACGGUAGUGGUAGAAGAAGCACCGGCUAACUACGUG
rnacentral:rRNA from 1 species